rnacentral:ncRNA from 1 species
AAAUAAUAAAUAAUUAUGUUUAAAAAAAUUUAUUAAAGGUUUAUUUUAUAUAUAAAUUUUAGUGUUAAGUUUUAAUUAUUUUAAUAAUAAAAUAAUGAAUUAUGUAGUAAAUAAAUUUAAAAAUUUAAGAAAUUAAGAUUUAGUAAUACAAAAAUAAAUAACAAAUUUUGUGCCAGCAGUUGCGGUUAUACAAAAAUUUAAUUAAAUUAUUUCAGUAUAUAAAAAAUAAAUUUUAUUAAAAUAAAUAUUAAAUUGUUAAGUGAAAUUUUAAUUUAAUUAAAUUUUAUUUUUAAUUUAUGUUUAAUAAAUUUUAUUAUAAACUAGGAUUAGAUACCCUAUUAUUAAAAAUUUAAUUAUAAAUACUAAAAUAGUAAAUAAUUUUUUAUUGAAACUUAAAUAAUAUGGCGGUAUUUUAGUUCAUUUAGAGGAAUCUGUUUAAUAAUUGAUAAUCCACGAAUAAAUUUACUUAAUUUAAAAUUUUAUAUAUCGUUGUUAAAAAAAUAUUUUUAAUAAAAAAUAAUAUUUGAAAAUUAAAAUUAAAAAUUAAUUCAGAUCAAGAUGUAGAUUAUAAUUAAGAAUAUAAUGGAUUACAAUAAAUUUAUUUAAAUGGAUAUAUUAUUGAAAAAUAAUAUUAAAGGUGGAUUUAAAUGUAAUUUUAUUUAAUUUAAUAAAAUGAUUAAAAAUUAAAAUAUGUACAUAUUGCCCGUCACUUUCAUUUAAAAAUUGGAAUAAGUCGUAACAAAGUAGAGGUACUGGAAAGUGUUUCUAGAAAGAU